UCUCCUACGGGAGGCAGCAGUGGGGGAUAUUGCACAAUGGGGGGAACCCUGAUGCAGCGACGCCGCGUGGGUGGAGGAGCGUUUCGGCGCGUAAAGCCCUAUCGGCAGGGAAGAAGGAGGACGGUACCUGACUAAGAAGCCCCGGCUAACUACGUGCCAGCAGCCGCGGUAAUACGUAGGGGGCAAGCGUUAUCCGGAUUUGCUGGGUGUAAAGGGAGCGUAGACGGCAGAGCAAGUCUGAAGUGAAAGCCCGCGGCCCAACUGCGGGACUGCUUUGGAAACUGCCCGGCUAGAGUGCUGGAGAG
rnacentral:rRNA from 1 species